AAAACUGGGGUUCCCUAGACCCUAUAUCCUACAAUUUUUAUCAUAUGAAAAAUAUUACAAGAGAAAAGUUACUCUAAAUGAAAUACCAAACAACUUUCAAGUUUAGGUCAAGAUCUAGUUUUUCUUGGAAAAUCAUUUUUUAUGGUGAAAGAUUAUAGGUCAUUUUGUCUAAACCCUAAUUUGGAUGUCAACUUCCCAAGAUCAUAACUUUCUCAUUUUAUAUGAG
rnacentral:lncRNA from 1 species